GCUGGGCAUGAUGGCUCAUGCCUAUAAUCCCAACACUUUGGGAGGCUGAGGCGGGUGGAUCACCUGAGGUCAGGAGUUCGAGACCAGCCUGGCCAACAUGGUGAAACCCCGUCUCUA
rnacentral:SRP_RNA from 1 species